UCUCGGCGCGUCGCGGCGCGUCACUUCCUGUCCCGUCGUGUCCUGUGCGUUAGUACCUGCCGAGUUCCCGCCCAUUCCGGCCUGGCUGGACCCCGGGCCCUUUCCCGUCGGGGGUCGUGAGGCUGCGCCGAGAACGUUUCCCCGAGGGCCUGUCGCGCAUUUCUGCCGGGAGAAAACUAAUCCGGGCCGCUGGGGGAGCUGCCCACGUCAGGACCAUACUUCACCCUCUGUGCCAACAAACCUAAGACUGUCACUUCCUGGCAGCUGUGGCUUCUCCAGUGCUAAGGUCACUGCCCCAAACAUUGGAGAAGCAGACAGGAAAGACAGAAAAUCCUGACUUCCUGAAGUAGAAAGCUCCGAGGAACCAGCACUGGUUAGAAAAUCCAGAACUAAUUGACGGAUAGAGGACAACCCUGAGAGAAAGAGCAGAGCAUCUUCGUCCCCAGAGGGCCCCUCUGACGUUUUCACGCCUCCACCGCAGGUAACUUCCACUCACUGACUUCUACACGUCCUCCUGGUCACUCGUAUCCAGAUUUCUGCUGUUACCAAUGCUAUUGAGUUGGUCAAACUACAUUUUCUAAAAAUAAAAUGAAACAAAGCAAAACAAAACAAAAAAAGCCCCUGGGAUGUGGAGCUCAAAAUGCUUUUUCUACCCCCGCCAAAGAGGCAACCGCGGGAUCUGUUUCCCAGGACCCUCCCACGGAGCGAGCCCACCUCUGGGGCUGCCUGUCACGCAGAAGUGCCCCUGGCAGGCUGCUCCAGCCCUACCCUUCCUGGGCUUCAUUCCCACGCUGCUUUGGGUUCCCCGCACCCAAUCCCCAGCCCCCAGAGCUCUUCUUACUCACACUGGUAACUGUUUGCUCCACCCCGGUGAGAAAACGCCCCGCCUCCUCAGCGUCUUACUGGACACAGACUCUCUUCCUUCCUGCAACUGGAACCUCACCCUCCAUCCUUCCAUGUGCCGAGGACACCACCUCCGUUCCAGGGCUGCCACCAGCUCUCUGGUCCCCUCACACCUGACUUAGGCUGCUCGAGCUUCCAUCCUGCAAUGAGAGCAGACGUCACCCUUUACAAGGCAGACUAGUGCAGACCCUACCUGAACCCCACAGGGCGUCUGGCUGGAGUUUACACCAGGCCCUCGACGGUCCCUGUGAACUGGCCUUGCUCCCUCCCAUCCUCACUUCCUCGACUCUGCCCCCUCGCAGCGUCCUCGCCUCGGGCAUCUUCCCGUUCCUGGGACGGGCUCACACCCAGCUGCCAGCUCCGUAAGGACCCCUUCUGCGACCCUGCGAGGGACGGGUUCCUUCGCGUGUGCUUCUGAAGCGUGGUGCUGCCCUCCUCUGCCGCUCUUUUUAUAGUUGUAAUUUACUGUAAUUUAUGGGUUUUUUUAAUUCAUGUCUCUUCCACCGCCGUCAGCUUUAUAAAGGGUUGUUUCCUGCCUCCUCAUUGUACUGCCCCAAACACUUAGAACAAUGCUGGUAAUUAGUAAUAAUUAAUAUCUCCUGAAUCCAUCCAUUUCUUUCAUUCCACUGAACUGCCUUGAUGCACGGCCCCUCAGUCGUGUAAAGAUGACCAAACCCGCCAACUAACCAGUCUCCUCACCUUGAGGCCCCAUCCCUUCUCUGCACUACGCCAGAAAGGUCCUACUAAGCACAAGCCAGAUAAUGUAAAUUCCUAUUAAAAAAUCAUAUCAGCUCCCCACUACCGUCAAAACAUAUCCUAAGUUCUUUAGCGCAGUGUAUGCUCCUUGCCACGGUUUACGUCAGCUUCCCUGUGCGUCUAUGUAUAGGUCGGUACAUAGUUUAUUUCACAUAUAUCUCAUGCA